AGGGAAAAGCUCAAAUUUAAAAUCUGGCAGCUUCGCUGUCCGAGUUGUAAUUUAGAGAAGUGUUACCCGCGUUGGACCGUGUACAAGUCUCCUGGAACGGAGCGUCAUAGAGGGUGAGAAUCCCGUCUUUGACACGGACUACCAAGGCUUUGUGGUACGCUCUCGAA
rnacentral:rRNA from 1 species